rfam:Clonorchis sinensis DNA, scaffold: 349, strain: Henan.
UAACGCGACCGUACCAUGCUGGAAACACCUGUUCUCAUCUGAUCACCGAGGUUAAGCAACGUUUGGCCCGAUUAGUACUUGCAAGGAUGAAUAGCUGGGAAUACCAGGUGUUGUAGCCA